GAUGAACGCUGGCGGCGUGCUUAACACAUGCAAGUCGAACGGAAAGGCCACAGCUUGCUGUGGUACUCGAGUGGCGAACGGGUGAGUAACACGUGGGUGAUCUGCCCUGUACUUCGGGAUAAGCUUGGGAAACUGGGUCUAAUACCGGAUAGGAAUCACAUGUGGGUGUGUGGUUGGAAAGCUUUUGCGGUAUGGGAUGAGCUCGCGGCCUAUCAGCUUGUUGGUGGGGUAAUGGCCUACCAAGGCGUCGACGGGUAGCCGGCCUGAGAGGGUGUACGGCCACAUUAGGACUGAGAUACGGCCCAGACUCCUACGGGAGGCAGCAGUGGGGAAUAUUGCACAAUGGGCGCAAGCCUGAUGCAGCGACGCCGCGUGGGGGAUGACGGCCUUCGGGUUGUAAACUCCUUUCGUCAGGGACGAAGCGAAAGUGACGGUACCUGGAUAAGAAGCACCGGCUAACUACGUG
rnacentral:rRNA from 1 species